UUUUUUUUUUNNAGCUCAGGMCGAACGCUGGCGGCGUGCCUAAUACAUGCAAGUCGAGCGGACAGAAGGGAGCUUGCUCCCGGAUGUUAGCGGCGGACGGGUGAGUAACACGUGGGUAACCUGCCUGUAAGACUGGGAUAACUCCGGGAAACCGGAGCUAAUACCGGAUAGUUCCUUGAACCGCAUGGUUCAAGGAUGAAAGACGGUUUCGGCUGUCACUUACAGAUGGACCCGCGGCGCAUUAGCUAGUUGGUGGGGUAAUGGCUCACCAAGGCGACGAUGCGUAGCCGACCUGAGAGGGUGAUCGGCCACACUGGGACUGAGACACGGCCCAGACUCCUACGGGAGGCAGCAGUAGGGAAUCUUCCGCAAUGGACGAAAGUCUGACGGAGCAACGCCGCGUGAGUGAUGAAGGUUUUCGGAUCGUAAAGCUCUGUUGUUAGGGAAGAACAAGUGCGAGAGUAACUGCUCGCACCUUGACGGUACCUAACCAGAAAGCCACGGCUAACUACGUGCCAGCAGCCGGGGGAAAU
rnacentral:rRNA from 1 species